rnacentral:lncRNA from 1 species
AGGUGGCAGCUUGGGUUCCAUUGCUCAGCUUUUCAAGGCUUUGGUGGAAUGAGAAGGUUUCCCACCAUCUUACUCUGGGGCCCUAGGAAAGGGGGUUGGGUGCUGGGCAGAGGCCCAGCCCAAGUUCAGUGCCUUGACCCCUGUCCUGUCCUGCCAGGCCAUCAUGACAUACCUGUUUGCUGCUAGUGAGGCAAGUGUUUGGGGCUGGGCCAGCGUGGGUGGCCAGAGGGCAGAGAGGGCCAGGAACAUCCCAUGUCCACCCUGGCCUCAGCAAGGACCAAGCCUGUGAGUGGUCAUUUCCACCAGUGAGCAGAGAAGGGGUACUUACAGUAUCCUACAGGACUACACAGGCAGGUGGAUAUCUGGGGAGGAGCUAUUGGGGUGAGAAGGGGGUGAGAUGAGAGCACAGCAAGCAGGGUAGGGAGCAUGUGACAGGCCGUAGGCAUUGGUGACUCGGUGCACCUGGGCAGUGGGUGGGGCCUCACUUUGGUGACUUUGCUCAGGUCACAUGUCCCUAGAUCUUUCUAAUUGCACUGUAAGGGGCCUUGGUCUGAUCUGAUCACAUGAAGCUCAAUGCUACCUCCACAGUCACCUUUUGAACACUUCCCAGUGCCCAGCUUGGUUGGGGACACUGAGGAGUGAGACUGGCGGAUACACAGUCCUAGGGAUGUAUCAUCUGACAGGGUCAGAUUUCCCAGGCUGUGUGUGUGUACCCCGUGUGCCUACACGUGCCCCCUAUCUUGUCCCCCAGGCUGAAGUCUCAGCCAGACCCUGCAGGUCCUACAUCGACCUGAUUGUGGUGGACACACAGAAGCCCUGCUUCUUCGUGGCGGGAUGGUCCUGAGACAGGUCAACAUGGUAAUAUCAGGUGGUCAGGCCCUGUCCACCUUGGGGGAGACUUCCUGACCUUGGACUUGACCUGCCUAUGGCCACUGCUGGCUCUGCUGACUGUCUGUCCCUGAAGGCAGAUAACUGGGGGGCCACUUUGAGUCCCCACAACCUCUACCCUUACAGGGGAAAAGUUGUGGUUCUCCUGACUCAGGGCCCCUCUGUAUCUGCCAGAACUCGGGGAAUCUCUGUGUGGGGACUUACACUGGGCCCCAGCAGCACUGCACUCUACUCUGGAGACACCUCCUUUACCAGGAGCCCACGUCCUAACCUUUCCGCUGGGCAGGAAGGGUCACCUGUGCUAUAGCACCAUGGGCAGCCUGUUCCGAUGCGGCUUCUUUGGCCAGAUGCUCUUCUCCAGCCAGCUAACGUGCUACGCCCACGACCUCUACACCACCACCUGCCUCAACUUCCUGCACUUCCUGCUCAGUUCACUGUUUACGGUGUGCAGGAGCUGGUUGGUGUCUGCAGUCUCGCUGGCCACCCUGACCCUCCAUACCUUAAGGAUCCACUGGUCCCAGUCCUGCUAGGAGCUCUGUAGGUCCCCAAACUUAAGUCUCCAACUUCCAGACCCAGAGGGGUCAAAACCUAUCAGAUGUUUUCUAUUGGGGGGGGCGGCAGUAGGAUUUAUGGUCAAAGGGAGAUGUUCUUUGUCCCCUAAAUUAACUUAGCAUCUGCUGUAAAUUAAGACCCCACUGUCUCAUUAUUUCCCUGGUAGAAGUGAUGCCAGUUGCAAGGAGGAAGGCAGAGCCUGCUCUCAGGAGGUAUGCAGUGACUUCCUGGAAACAGGCAGCAUAUAACGAAGGCAUAGCUGGUUUUUCUCUGGGAGAUCCAAGGAUGCUCCUGGGCUAAGAUUGGGGAAGUAGAGGCAGCCAUGACAGCAUUGGGCAAACAUUAGUAGGAGCAUCUCGGCUCCAUCUUACAGGAGGUAGGGUCUGUGGACUUCGAAGUGGAGUCUUCAGGGUUCCCUGCUCCUGCCUUCCCUGCCAUCCUCAGCUGCCUUCCAGAUGUUCAAGAGGGGACCAUUUAUUGAGCAUUUGCUGUGUUUUGUUUUGGGUGGGAAUGCUUUUAAUUCAUUCAACUUAAUGCUCCAAUUAACCUAACAAGGAAGGUUUUAUCAACCUCAUUUUAUCAUUGGAGGAAUGGAAAUGCAGAGAAUCUAAGUCACUUGUCACAAAGCUCAAAGACAAUGGAGGUGGGAUUCGAACCCAAGGGCUGUCUAGCUCCAGGGGUCUGUUAUGUCUCCCAGAGCACUGCCUCUUAGAUGGACUGGGCUGGAGAGCUCCAGCUGGCAAUGCUGGGGGCCCAGACACAACCAGAUAUGCUUUUAGACAUCAACACUAAGUAGACACCAUGGAGGGGAAAAGGUGCCAUUUAAAGAAAUCUGGCCCUUCACUGUGCUAGCCUGCAGUUUCUGAGAUGGAGUUCAACUGAGAACCUUCCAGCACCUGCUUCCUCUCCUCAGCUCCCUCUGCAACAUCCUUGGGCGAGAACCACCAGUGGUGGGCUGGGGAAUCUGUGCAUCACUGAGGAAUCCUGGGAGGCCUCCCAUUAAUUGGAGCUACUCCAUCUGCGCUCACAUGUGUCCCUGCAGUUGCCAUGUGAGUUGGCUGUGGAGCAAGAGCACGCCAGUCUGGGUCUUGCCUCCUGUUUCCUGUCCUGUAGCCAGAGGGUAAGUAGCCCAGGAGCUCAGAGUCUUGGGGCUGC